GAAACCUCAUUUAACGCCCACAUUCAUCAAAAUAUUUCUUUUCAGCUAAGCUCCGCCUUUUCGUCGGCCUUUCGUGAAUCAAACGAGAUCUCGAAGCUUGUACCACGUGAUUCGUCUUCGUCUUCCUUUGAUUUCAGGGGGACGUAACUCUGCAAAACAUACUUCCGGUUUAUUUGUUUACGGUUAGAAACUUUUAGUUUGACAUAAAAGUUCGACAUUUUCGUAGAAACAUAGUGUUUUGAAUCGAUUUAUAGUUGACAGAUAGGCGCAUUGAUUGGUAUCAUCAUCUGGAACAAGUGAAAUUUGUGAUGAGAAAAAUCAUGUUGGACCUCUACUCCCUGCUUAUGGGACAUUACUGGCAAACAUACUGCAUGUUCGCUUUCCAACCAGGGUCAACUUCAUGCAAAACAUUGUUUCAGUUGAAAUGUAUCGAUCAGGAUGUAAUCAUAAGAUUUUCCGAUGGUUCAACAGGCUGGGACUGUGUAGAAGUGUUACAACUACCCAGAUGGUUAUUGAUGAUCUAUGUGCUAAUUAUGACAGCAAAAUAAAGAAUUGGAAGCAUAAUGUUCAGAUAGAUGCCGGUAAUUUGAGGGCAGUUCUGGUGGGUCUUCUGAGAGGUCAUCGAUUUCGUCUGAUGUCACUAUUGGUUAUAUGGAAUCAUCGACUAAUGACACCAUAGAUGUAGAUUCGAAUGGCAAUGAUGACUUAGAUUCAGAUAUAUCUGAUGGAUCACAUGUGCAUGACGAUCUAGAUGGGAUAGUUCCACUACUGGAAUCAUCUGUAAUUGAUGACCAACAUGAUCCUGCUGAUCAUAACCAAGAGCCUGGAUUUUCCCUGUGCUGGGACAACGUUCAAAAGCUUAGCAUUGCUAGACACAAAGAUGAUGGAACAGACAAUAAAAUGAUGUUGUGGGCCUUGUCCAUUGCCACCAGAAAUCGGAUUGGAUUUCUUAACCUAGAUGACUUUGACGAAACUGUUCCUGCUCAGGAUAUUCCA